rnacentral:tRNA from 1 species
AUAAAGAUGGGCACUG